rnacentral:rRNA from 1 species
AACGAACGCUGGCGGCAGGCUUAACACAUGCAAGUCGAACGCCCCGCAAGGGGAGUGGCCGACGGGUGAGUAACGCGUGGGAAUCUACCAAUCCCUACGGAAUAACGCAUGGAAACGUGUGCUAAUACCGUAUACGCCCUACGGGGGAAAGAUUUAUCGGGGAUGGAUGAGCCCGCGUUGGAUUAGCUAGUUGGUGGGGUAAAGGCCUACCAAGGCGACGAUCCAUAGCUGGUCUGAGAGGAUGAUCAGCCACAUUGGGACUGAGACACGGCCCAAACUCCUACGGGAGGCAGCAGUGGGGAAUAUUGGACAAUGGGCGCAAGCCUGAUCCAGCCAUGCCGCGUGAGUGAUGAAGGCCUUAGGGUUGUAAAGCUCUUUCACCGGAGAAGAUAAUGACGGUAUCCGGAGAAGAAGCCCCGGCUAACUUCGUG